CCUACGGGAGUCAGCAGUGGGGAAUAUUGCACAAUGGGCGAAAGCCUGAUGCAGCAACGCCGCGUGAGCGAUGAAGGCCUUCGGGUCGUAAAGCUCUGUCCUCAGGGAAGAUAAUGACGGUACUUGAUGAGGAAGCCCCGGCUAACUACGUGCCAGCAGCCGCGGUAAUACGUAGGGGGCUAGCGUUAUCCGGAAUUACUGGGCGUAACGGGUGCGUAGGUGGCUUCUCAAGUCAGAGGUGAAAGGCAACGGCUAAACCGUAGUAAGCCUUUGAAACUGGGAAAAUUGAGUGCAGGAGAGGAGAGUGGAAUUCCUAGUGUAGCGGUGAAAUGCGUAGAUAUUAGGAGGAACACCAGUGGCGAAGGCGGCUUACUGGACUGUAACUGACAUUGAGGCACGAAAGCGUGGGGAGCAAACAGGAUUAGAUACCCCGGUAGUC
rnacentral:rRNA from 1 species